rfam:Myotis brandtii contig160792, whole genome shotgun sequence.
AGAGGUCCUCUGUGGCCGGGGUGGAACACUUGCCUUGUCGCCAUGGCGACGAAGUAAGCAUUCUGCCAGGCUGCUCACACUGCCCAC